AGCGUCGGUGUAGCAAUACAUCGGUGCUUCUAGUGGCGCACGGGUGAGUAACACGUGGGCAACCUGCCCUUGAGCCCGGGAUACCCUCUCGAAAGGGAGGCUAAUACCGGAUACGUUCCUCGGGUCGCAAGAUCUGGGGAGGAAAGGCGGCGAAAGCUGUCACUCUUGGAGGGGCUCGCGGCCUAUCAGCUAGUUGGUGAGGUAAUGGCUCACCAAGGCUAUGACGGGUAGCUGGUCUGAGAGGACGACCAGCCACACGGGAACUGAGACACGGUCCCGACUCCUACGGGAGGCAGCAGUGGGGAAUUUUCCGCAAUGGGCGAAAGCCUGACGGAGUGACGCCGCGUGGGGGACGAAGGCCUUCGGGUCGUAAACCCCUGUCAGAGGGAAAGAAGGGUCGCCGACCUAAUACGUCGGUGACCUGACGGUACCUUCAGAGGAAGCCCCGGCCAACUCUGUGCCAGCAGCCGCGGUAAGACAGAGGGGGCAAGCGUUGCUCGGAAUCACUGGGCGUAAAGGGCGCGUAGGCGGGAUGGCAAGUCGGUCGUGAAAUCCUUCGGCCCAACCGAAGAACGUCGGCCGAUACUGCCGUUCUUGAGGGAUGCAGAGGAGACUGGAAUUCCCGGUGUAGCGGUGAAAUGUGUAGAGAUCGGGAGGAACACCGGUGGCGAAGGCGGGUCUCUGGGCAUUUCCUGACGCUGAGGCGCGAAAGCGUGGGGAGCAAACGGGAUUAGAUACCCCGGUAGUCCACGCUGUAAACGAUGACGACUAGGUGUUGGGGGUGGUUCAGUCCAUUCCGUGCCGCAGCUAACGCAUUAAGUCGUCCGCCUGGGGAGUACGGCCGCAAGGUUGAAACUC
rnacentral:rRNA from 1 species